rnacentral:rRNA from 1 species
GAUGAACGCUGGCGGCGUGCCUAAUACAUGCAAGUCGAGCGAACAGACGCGGAGCUUGCUCCUCUGACGUUAGCGGCGGACGGGUGAGUAACACGUGGAUAACCUACCUAUAAGACUGGGAUAACUUCGGGAAACCGGAGCUAAUACCGGAUAAUAUAUUGAACCGCAUGGUUCAAUAGUGAAAGACGGUUUUGCUGUCACUUAUAGAUGGAUCCGCGCCGCAUUAGCUAGUUGGUAAGGUAACGGCUUACCAAGGCAACGAUGCGUAGCCGACCUGAGAGGGUGAUCGGCCACACUGGAACUGAGACACGGUCCAGACUCCUACGGGAGGCAGCAGUAGGGAAUCUUCCGCAAAGGGCGAAAGCCUGACGGAGCAACGCCGCGUGAGUGAUGAAGGUCUUCGGAUCGUAAAACUCUGUUAUUAGGGAAGAACAAAUGUGUAAGUAACUAUGCACGUCUUGACGGUACCUAAUCAGAAAGCCACGGCUAACUACGUG